rnacentral:rRNA from 1 species
AGGUCCUACGGGGGGCAGCAGUGAGGAAUAUUGGUCAAUGGGCGAGAGCCUGAACCAGCCAAGUCGCGUGAAGGAUGACGGCCCUACGGGUUGUAAACUUCUUUUGUCAGGGAGCAAUUGAGUCCACGUGUGGGCUUAGCGAGAGUACCUGAAGAAAAAGCAUCGGCUAACUCCGUGCCAGCAGCCGCGGUAAUACGGAGGAUGCGAGCGUUAUCCGGAUUUACUGGGUGUAAAGGGAGCGUAGACGGCGAAGAAAGUCUGAAGUGAAAGCCCGCGGCUCAACCGCGGACUGGCUUUGGAAACUU